AUGAAAGGAAUCUGCUACAAGUGCAAAGAACCAUGGUUUCCUGGCCACAAGAAAGUUUGCAAACUUGCAAAUCAAAUGCAAAUACAAGCCCUGCAAGAGACAUGUCCUGAGGAUGCAGAAUUGGUCUACUACACUGUUGAUGAUACUGAAGCACCCCCACCCACUGACCUGGAUGACACCCCCUUGCAAAUCUCUAUGCAUGCCCUCAUGGGAGUCACUUCCUCCAAGCUGAGUUUCACUGUUACAGUUAUGCUGGGAGACAAACCUGCUAUAGCCCUCAUUGACAGUGGCAGCACUGCAACCUUUGUAAUUCCUGUACUAGCAAAACUGGCUCCGUGUGCUCUCACUCCAACUAAGAAAAAGAAAGUGCUAGUUGCCAAUGGAGCAACUCUCUGGACGGAAUUCUUUGCCCUCCAGUGCCCUUUUGUAGUGCAAGGAAUUGAAUUUUUCCAUGAUUUCAGAGUCCUACAGUUGCAAGGUUAUGAUGUGAUAUUGGGAGCUGAUUGGAUGAAAACUGUUAGUCAUGUCCAGCUAGAUUUGAGGAAAUGGAAGUACAAGUCACACUGA
rnacentral:rRNA from 1 species